GAUGGAUAAAGAUGGGCUUCCUCUCAUGGGAGUCAGGCGUAGACUUGAUCAAGGUGCCAGCUAUUCAGCAGAAAAGAAUGGUGGCUUUUCUAAACCAAAAUGUGGUACACACUGUAUAGUGCCUCAAUCGCUCUUCUACAUUUAGUGAGGAGAAACUGGCAAACCUUUAUCUUGGUAUCCAGCAAAUUGAAACAAUUCUCAAUACUGUAGAUGCAAAGUUGUCAUCUAUACCAGGCCUAGAUGAUGUCACAUUUGAAGUAUCUCCUUCAAGUGCCACUAGUGUCACAAAUGGAUCACAUUCUGAAGUCACCUCAGAGUAAUCACAGCAGGACAGUACAUU
rnacentral:lncRNA from 1 species